AGCGAGUGCUGAGGACAGCUCCGCCGGAGCAGUAGAGUGUUUCAGAAGAGAGAAAAAGAUGGUGGCGGUGAACUGGCUUUCUGUGGAUGGUAAAGCUGUGCUGAGAACUGGGCUGACUAUUGCAGCUGAAAAAGCGUGCCGUGUGUGCAGAGGCAGAGGAAUAACUUUUCCGUGUAGGUUGAGCUUGUGUAAGUGAUUUUUUAGCCGGGAGAGAUUGGAGGUGCUGUUUGGUGAUGGAGGACGGAGAGAGGAAAAGCAAGUAAAAGGCAUGCUGUGCAUUGCCACCACAUGCCAUGGGCACCGUUGUCGUCCUGCACAAAGGAGGAGCAGCUCAGCAAGCUUGGCCUGGGCCGUGGGAGGGAGCAUAAAAAUAUCUGGACCAAGCGGAAACGAGUUAGUUCUUGAGGAAUCUCUGUGUGCUUUUUAAUGAAGAACAAACUCGUUGUUCAUCCUGUGAGCGAAUUCAUUCAGGCCUGUUAGUUGGUGUUGUUCUCUCCAUGGAGCUGCAAGUGAAAUGGAUACUUCUGGUGUGAUGUGAGGCCCCCUCCCGCCUUCUCAGCUCAUCUGACGUGGAAAUCAGACUCUAUAGCCAGUAACGAUAUAGAGCAGUGAUAACCAUGGAAGCACGGAAGCGUUACCCAGACAGAGUGAGCAUUUGUCACCUGGGC